rnacentral:rRNA from 1 species
UCGUGGAGUGAUUUGUCUGCUUAAUUGCGAUAACGAACGAGACCUUAACCUGCUAAAUAGCCAGGCUAGCUUUGGCUGGUCGCCGGCUUCUUAGAGGGACUGUCAGUGUCUAACUGACGGAAGUUUGAGGCAAUAACA